GGCCUGACCCUGCCAUCCAUGAGAAAUGGAGAGAACGCCAGGCCCUCCUUUCUCCAGAUCCCUACACCCUUCAUCAGCGUCUGAAUACUCUCAGUCAGGAAACCCAGACAGCCGGAGUGUGCGUGAAGAUGCAGGAAAAAAAGGAAUCUUGGCUCCUCCCCUAAUUGGACCUUUGUUGAGAACUAAAAGACUAGGCUACUGAUAUACCAUCCUAAGAGUCUCGCUAUGCAGUUCAGGCUGGCCUUGAGCUCACUUUGUA